UGUCCCAUAUCUAUAAUAAAAGUGUGUCAGUCCCCAUGGGGCCACCCGUUGUCGCCUCGGGUUAUGAAAAAAAAGAGUCAGUGAA
ensembl:ncRNA C09G5.10 ncRNA